GAUGAACGCUGGCGGCGUGCCUAAUACAUGCAAGUCGAGCGAACAGACGAGGAGCUUGCUCCUCUGACGUUAGCGGCGGACGGGUGAGUAACACGUUGAUAACCUACCUAUAAGACUGGGAUAACUUCUGGAAACCGGAGCUAAUACCGGAUAAUAUAUUGCACCGCAUUGUUCAAUAUUGAAAGACGGUUUUGCUUUCACUUAUAGAUGGAUCCGCGCCGCAUUAGCUAGUUGGUAAGGUAACGGCUUACCAAGGCAACGAUGCGUAGCCGACCUGAGAGGGUGAUCGGCCAAACUGGAACUGAGACACGGUCCAGACUCCUACGGGAGGCAGCAGUAGGGAAUCUUCCGCAAUGGGAGAAAGCCUGACGGAGCAACGCCGCGUGAGUGAUGAAGGUCUUCGGAUCGUAAAACUCUGUUAUUAGGGAAGAACAAAUGUGUAAGUAACUAUGCAAGUCUUGAAGGUACCUAAUCAGAAAGCCAAGGCUAACUACGUG
rnacentral:rRNA from 1 species